GUGACACUCCUGGAGAUUGAACUACUCUAGCCACAAAACAGGUGCAGCACAGGCAGCAGUAAUGCAAGCAUCCCACAUACUGCCUCAUGACUCAGCCCUGGACUGCAGGCACUGUCCAUAGGACUGAGAAGGGAAUUCAGUCUCCCUGAUCCAUACAGUCAGUGACUUUU
rnacentral:sRNA from 1 species